GUGUGAAUCCUGAAACUCUCCUCGUCCCUCCACGUGUAGUUUUUCAGGGGGUAUCGGAGUGCGAGCGCAGAAGAUGUCUGCGGAGGGAAGAGGGAUGCGUCACUGGAUUAGUGCCUGAGAAUCUGUCCCAGCCUCCUUCCUCCUGAGCUCGCUGAGACGCCUCCAAGAAGGGCACGAUACUCAACUGCUCGCUUUCCCUCCCGACCAAGCCUUCCACAUGAGCCAGCCAAGCCUUAGCUCCGCACCAGGAUGAAGAAAGAAAAGAAAACACAUGCUUUGCUCUUCCUCCUCCUGCUUCACUUCACCUUGGGGCAAUCAGAUUAUGCUCCAUAUUUUUAUGAUAAUGGUCCCAGCAGCACAAAUGGGAAUAUGGCCUUGUUCAGCAUUUCUGAGGAUACACCCAUCGGAACACUGAUAUACAUCCUGAAUGGCACAGAUCCAGAGGGGGAUCCGAUACGAUACGGGCUGACUUUUGAAAAAGGCUUCAAAGAAUAUUUUAGGGUGGAACCCAAAUCAGGAAACGUGACUCUGAUUCAGGAGCUUGACAGAGAGAAACAAGAUGAAAUCUCAGUGCUUGUGAGCAUAACGGACGGGCGCAAUAAAGUUGUUGAGACUGUGCGAGUGUUUAUCACGGACGCCAAUGAUGAGCCACCUGAAUUCCAAAAUCUGCCUUUCAUCAUUGAUGUUCCAGAGGACACUUCUCCAGGAACCAGCAUCUACAGAGUCCAAGCAGUGGAUAAAGAUAUGGGCUCAGGAGGCAGCGUAUCGUAUUAUCUGCAGACAUCCCCAUUGGCCAAGUUCACCAUUGAUGGACACAGCGGGAUCCUCAGAGUCAAACCCGGCGAGACGUUGGACUACGAGACGACACCAACACAUUUUGUGACAGUAGUUGCAAAGGAUGGAGGUGGAAAGUACAAGGGGAAGCACCAGGUGAUGACGUCCACAGCCACCAUCACAAUCAAUGUUAUUGAUGCCCAGGACAUGCCUCCAUCCUUUGUAGGAACACCAUACUUCGGCUACAUCUACGAAGUCUCGGUUCCUGGUUCUGAAAUAUUCACAGUGUAUGCUAAAGAUGGUGACCAGGGCAAUCCUAACCCCAUGCAUUACUCUAUUAUGGAUGGGAGUGAUGGUGUCUUUGACAUAAAUAGCACCAGUGGAUGCAUCACCUUGACAACACAUCCCUCUCUGCUGAAAAAUGAACUGUAUGAAAUUAAAGUCAAGGCGUCUGAGGUGGGACCAAACAAUCAGUUGCUGGACUAUGACGUUACCACAGUGACGGUCCGAGUGGUGGAUCUGAACAACCAUCCUCCGACUUUUUAUGGAGAAAACGGACCUCAGAGCAAGUUUGAGGUCACCAUGUACGAACAUCCACCUGCAGGGGAGAUCCUCCGAGGCUUUAAGAUCACAGUCAAUGACUCUGAUCAGGGAGCAAAUGCUAAAUUUAAACUGAGGCUAGUGGGGCCGAGCCGAGUGCUUCGAGUGGUUCCACAGACGGUUCUGAACGAAGCUCAGGUGACCAUCAUUGUGGAGGACACAUCUGGCAUCGACUAUGAAAAGGGACCAACCCUUUCUUUUAAGCUGCUGGCGGUGGAGAUCGACACCCCCGAGCGUUUCAGUGCGACGGCCGACAUAGUGAUCAACCUGCUGGACACAAACGACAACAUCCCCACGUUCACGUCCGAGUAUUACAUCACCAGGGUCCCUGAGAACUCUCCUGGAGGCUCCAGUGUUGUGUCUGUUACAGCAAAUGAUCCAGAUUCGGGGCCUUGGGGUGAAGUCAAGUACACGAUUUAUGGAUCAGGAUCAGAUUUGUUCGCCAUCCACCCUAUGUCAGGCCUCAUCUCCACGCAGCCCUGGACCAGCCUGGACGCAGAGGUCCGGUCCAAAUACAACUUCUACGUCAAGGCUGAGGAUUCGGAGGGGAAGUACAGUUUGGCUGAAGUCUUCGUCACCGUGCUCGACAUGAACGACCACUCUCCGAUAUUUGACGACAAACUCCUGGAGAAGACCAUGAUUAUUGGCACACCGGUCAAAGUAGAGGCAGUGGAUGAAGACGCAGAGUCUCCCAACAAUGUCAUUGAAUACUCCAUCAUGACAGCCGACCCUGACAACGCGUUUGACAUCAACGCCAACACCGGUGAGAUCCAGCUAAAGCCCUACAUCAAGUCCAUGGAGAUAGUGCAGAACAUCACCAAGCAGAAGGACUGCAAGUGGUCUCUGGUGGUCCAGGCCAGGGACCGAGGCUCUCCGUCCUUCAGCACAACAGCAGUGGUCAACAUCGACAUCACGGAGGCGGAGGGAUGUCCCAGGCAGGAAAACCUCCAACCCUGUACAUGUCCCCACCAGAUCUUCCCCCAUAUGACCUUCACACUGAGACAAGGUGAAAUAAUGAAGAAAUGAGAUAGGAAAUGUGAUUAAAAAAAAACAACAGCUUACUAUCAGCUAUCAUGUCUAGAAGACGUUUGGAUACAUUACAACUUUUAAACUGGCCUGUUUUUUGUUGUUGCUUUGCUGCAGCAGUGAAAAAGAAAAAAAUAGAAACAGUAGUGUGUAAAAAUACUACAAUACAAGUAAAGUUAACUUUCACCAUAGCAUUUUAAUGCAUGUUUAUAGUUACUUUCCAUAAUUAUAGACACGUUUUAGCUGUAUCGUACUAAAUAUAAAAAAGCAGAUCAGCAAAGAAAUGCAUCUGGCGUCAGUAUUUCCUUCUGAAAUGUUGAAAAAAAAGCCAAAAUUCUACUAAAAUAAAAGCAUCCCAGCCUGCCAGAACCUACAAACAGGAGUUGAUUUAACAGACUGAAUUGCUCUUGUUUCAUUUUUGCCAUCUUGCUCCAGGUUUUUCAGUACGAAUGCAAAUUCAACAGUGAAACCUUUGUUUCAUUGCAAAACCGACAGAUUAUGUUGGAGUAAUUAACUAUGUGCCAAUGGACUAAUGUUUAACCACUGCAGUUUAGAAAAAUAUUAGAAGCAGAGUAUUCAGGUCAACUGUAGCUGUGGGUUUUAUUACUAAGCUUUGUUUGUAGCUACACAUGAAGAAGAGAUUCCAACUGAGAAGUUAAGAAAACAGUUCUGUCCUCAUGUCUGGCCUUAGAAUAAGGCUGGCACUGACUUUAAUGAGGAAUAUCAUGCAACUGGCACAUUUUAUUCCAUAUUUAAAACUGUUUUUGGUUAUUUUAGUGCUUGUAAAUCUUUUUUGUUUGUCGAUAAUAGUGCAAAAUGGAAAAAUAAACUUCCUAAAGUUUAGAUUCCACUUUAUACCAGACGAUCAAUCCGCUGCAUUCACUGUUGUGUCGGCUCAGACCUGUUUCACCACACUCAGCUGCAGUAGAUUAACAGAUUGUGUUAUUGAAUCAUUUGAAUUGCGAAACUGGCACCGUGUCGCUUUAUGCUCCUGUACAGCGUCACGCUGCUGCCUCAGUCUCCGACUUUUACAGACCUCUUGUUGGGAUUUAGGGCAGCACGCAAACACUCGGAUACAUGAAUCAGAUGCUCCGACUUGUCAGUUUAUCUGUGAGACAUCAGCAGUUUUGAGGCCCCAUGUGUCGGAGCAGCAGAUGCUGAAUGUGACGGAGGCUGGAACUGGAUGCUUCACUCAGGACAAUAUGGGCAGUUUGAGAAAAGGGUAUUAUAAGUCCACUGGGACACAUCAUUACUUCAUAGUUAAUGAGUUUGUGGUAAUCUGUGGACAGAUUAGUGGUGCAAUCAGACUUUGCCCAAAUGUUGCAUUUUAAAAGGUUCAGGCUGCUGCAGGAGCCAAAGGUCACUUCUCUGUUGUCCUAGUUUAGAUGGGUUAUUUGGUCAGCGGUUUGAGAAGGAUAAACAAGUAAAUAAAUGGGUUCCUGAUGCUUUCACUUACUUUAUUACUCGACCUUUUGCAGUCGGUGUUGCUUAGAAGAGAAAUCCACUGUUUUUGUAGCUCAAAAUAAAAGAAACAAAAGAGACUGUGUAGUAAUCUGCCAAUUUAACUGUCAUAUGUUGUACUUCAGUGGCAUUAAACUAUAAAAAGAUGUUGAUUAUCGUGAUAUAAAUACUUUUGUCAUUGUGACUAAGCUUGUUUAACACACAAACUUUACAACAAAUGUAAUUAUGUGCUGGUGUUUGAGUGCAAAGUCACUCACUGCUCAUUUGUGUUGAUAGCAGUCAGAAUAAACAGAUGGCAUUAGAAGGAAGUGAAAGGUUCAGUGUGUCAUUGUAAUGUGCAAUAUUUAAUUUUUCAUGAGAAAUCUUCCAAUUUCAUGCUGAAUAUUUCAUCAUCAUGUGUAAUGUUUUACUAUUUCAUUAUCAUUGCCAGUAUUCCUUCUGACUUUUAUGUUCUAUAGUCUCAUUUUAGCUUACACAUUUUGUUUUUAUUCAUUAUUUUUUCAGUAAGGUAUGUACCCCUUAUGGCUUUUAUACUAGGCACAGCAUUUCCUAACAGUAUGUAAAUUUGUUUUCUGAGCAAUAUCUAGCAAAAGAAUUUCCUUUGGGGUUAAUAAAGUGUUUUUGUUAUGUUAUGUUGGUCCAAGAAAUGUAUGUUUGUGAAGCAGAUAAAAGUUGUGCUGUGAUGUUGUAUUGUGAUAUCUUAGCAGUGACCACCAACACUGCAGACAGUUAUUCUGAGACAAGAAAACAUUCGAGUUUCCUGAUGCUGCAGGAGUUUAUUGUACACAGGUUCACUCUGCUGAGAAAAAGGCAGUUUUAAUGCCCAUGUGUCAAAUUGCCCCUCCAAAAUGCCUGUUCUAAACUUUGGUCCUUUUUUUUCUUUACAGCAGUGUGCAAAGAUUUAAUCGACUAAUAUGAACAGUUGAGUGAGAGAAUAAUUUGAUCUCCAACACACAAGAAGGUAAUACCAUUUUGAGGAAAGGAGCUUCACACAAAAGUUUGCAAGAGAUCUGAGCCCUAAGAUAAUAGCAGCCAAGCUCUCAGACCCAAAUUAGUUUGUUUCGAUUAUGGCAUGUUCACAGUCAACAUUUGGAAAGACCAAGUCAUGCAGAUUUCAGAGCUUUAUUACAAAGCCAAGGAACGACAGAGUUAUGUGACGAUCGGCGUACGUUUGUCUGUGAAUCUGUCUGUCUGUCAGUGUGAAACAUUACUCAAAAAUGGACUAAAUUUUUAGUGGAGGUCAGAAAUGACACAAGGACCACCUCAUUAAAUUUCCACAGUGAUGCGGCUUAUAGUCUGGAUCCACGGCUUUGUUAAGGAUUUCCCAUUGCCAGAUAUAGCUGCCGGCUGUAACCAUGACAACAAGUGAACACUGUGUCAGUUACCUGCUGACAAUCACAUGAUUGCGAUCCUACUACAAAAUGACUGACAUCAGUGGAAAUCAUCCAAGGAACAAAUGAUUAAACUGUGGGAUGUUUCUGAGUCCCGCUACAUAUUUAGGUCAUGUAUGUAGCAAAACCCAGCCAGACCAUGGUGAAGCUCCUGAUGUUUCACAAAGCCUUUAUUUACGUUCAGCCGUCAGCCUUAUUUUGAACACAAAUUCACCUUUCUGUCCUUCACUCCUUUCUUCAGGAAACACUGUCAGAGCUUGUCUCCAUUCCAGCUGCUUCUAAGUUUAGACACAUCCUUUACUAGACAGCAACAGCUGGAACCGUUUUCUUUCAACUUCAUGUGAAUUUUCGGACUUUUCGGCGUCUUUGUCAUGUCAAGAGACCGCUUCUUACAUAAACAUUUCCUGUGCCGUUGGAAUGGUGACAAAAUAAAAGCCCGUAACAUUAAAAAAAAAAAUACGCCUUCAAAAUAAAAGCAUGGAGGGAACAGUUAUUUUAACACUAGCAAAACAAAGGCUUUGCAAAAGUGAUGAACUGAUCAACUGACCUUUAUAAGAGUAAUUUACACGUGAUUCGGUAACCAUACAUAACAUUCACAUACAUAACACGUGCCUGUGCUCAGCACAAGUUCAUUUUUUAUUAAAUAUUUCAUCCAUCAGAAAUGACACGUCAACUGAGCAGCCUUGGCGGAGUACUGCGCUCUCUGAGUGCUUUUCUAGUAAUUUAGUAAGUUGGCCAAAAUGUGACGAAAACGUCAUAUGUCGUCAUAUGUCAUAUGUCGUCUAAAAUAUCACAGUAAUGUCAUAGUUUAGUAUGUUGUCCAACAUGUCGUAAACUGGUGCCCAGGUAGCUCAACUGGUUGAGAGGGUGACUCAUAAACACGACUCUGUCAGAGACGCAAUUUCGAUUUCAGCUCAUAGCCCUUUGCUGCAGGUCUUCCCUGCUUUCCUCUCUACUUACCUAUUGAAUAAAACCAACAACAAGGCCCAAAAAACAACUUUGACAAAAAUGUCAUAGUUUAGUAUGCGGACCAAAAUAUCACAAACAUGUCAUUGUUCAGUAUGUCGUCCAACAAGUGGAAAACAGGUGCCCAGGUAGCUCAAUUGGUUGAGAGGGUGUCUCAUAAACAGGACUGCAUCACAGGUGCAAGUUUGACUCCAGCUUGUGGCCCUUCAUUGCACAUCUUCCCUGCUUUCCUGUCUACAUACCUAUUGAAUAAAACCAACAAAAGGGCCCAAAAAACAUCAUAGUUUAGUAUGUUGUCCAAAACGUGGAAAAAACAUCAUAGUUUAGUAUGUCGUUGAAAAUAUCACUAAAUUGUCAGUUUAGUGUGUCUAAACUUUGACGUUUUAGUGAACUGAGCAACCUUGACGGAGUACUGCACUCUCCGAGUGCUUUUCUAGUUAAUACUUUGAUCCCUCAACCGUUGUCCCAACAGUUAGCUGCCAUGGACUCCUCUCAGCAGUUUAGACUGCUCUAACUUUAAAAAUUAAAACAAUUAAUGCCCACAAAGCAGGAGAAACUAUAAGAAUAUAGCAAAAUGCUUUAAGGUAGCUGUUCCCUCAGUUCCUAAUGUACUUAAGACAUGAUUGUUUAUAUGGUCAGGUCUGGAAGACCAAGAAAACCUUCAGAGAGAACAGCUAACUACCUGUUUGACUGGUAAAGACUUUCGGGAAGGUUAAUAAGACCCUGGUAUGAGAGUUCACUGUUCUGCUGCACAGCAACACCUGCACAAAUAUGACCUUCAUGGAAGAGUCAUCAGCACAAAACCUUUCCUGCAUUCAAUGCAAAAUUUGGCAGCAGAAGUUUGCAAUUGAGCAUCUAAGUAUUCCUGGGACAUUUUAGAAACAGAACUUUUUGGCCAGAUUAAGCAACGGUAUGUGUGCAGAUAAGGGUGCAGAAUUUCAUGAGAAGAGCACCAACUGUUCAGCAGCCAAUGGAAAACAUUUCAGACUUUAUUUGUCUCAAUAUGAUAAGAUGGAACCUUAUUUAUCCUCAAGGAUAUUCUUGAAAAAAUGGAAGCAAACAUCACUGAGGAGGAUAGCUUCUACAACAGGAUAAUGAUCCAAAACAAACUUCUAAAUCUACAAUAGUUUACCUUAAGAGGCACAAGCUGGAGGUUUUGCAAUGGUCCUCACAGUCCUUUGACCUGAACAUCAACAAAAAUCUGACAAAAGUCCUCAGACGAGCUUAAGCAAGGAGGAACGAGUGAAAUUCCCCUUAAACAAGAAUUGGAAGAAUCUUAGUUGCUAAGGAAAGUAUUUACAAGCUGUUACACUUGCCAAAAAGUUGCCUUACUAAGUACUGACCAUGCAAGGUGCCAAAACGUUUGCUUUGGAGUCUUUUAACUUGUAGAAAUUUAGUGAUGAAGGAUAUAAAUUUCCUAGAAAGAAAAGAAAAUGUAACUGGUCCGUGUAUAUUUUGGCAAUUGGAUUUUCCGUUCUGAAACGGGUAUUGAAAAACAAAAAACAAGUGGUUAUUUGAUUUUCGUUUCAAAAUACAAAAAUUAAAAAUGAAAUACAAGGCAUUUUUCCUUUUCAUUAUCAAAAAGGGAUACACGAAAUUUUAAAAAUGCUUUGAUUUUCAUUUCAUAUUUAGAAUAACAAAAAAGUAAAAUCAGCAAGUGACAGAAACGAAAAAAGGUCCGUUUUUUCAUUUUCUGAGACCGGAAGUGGUCAUCAGCAAGUGUGGAGCCAAACAGAGCAUGGUGCAUUGACUGUAUAUCAUUUUUUUCGUUAGUUUUCAUGGCCAAAAUGAGAGAUCAGGUGGCCGAUCUUAAAAUAAAUCAAUAUUGAUUUUUUUUAUAGAGAGCGUUAAAGUUUUGCGAAGCCAGGGGGCGGGGCUACUUUAUUGACAGUCUGGUCUGGAAUGAUUGACAGGUCCUACGGAGGAGGCAGCAGAGACUCUGCUCUCCUCAUUUGGAUUAAUUCUGAUAUAAUAACUGUUGGUUUAUUUAUCGGUGCAGCAGCAGAACAUUUUCCACAGACAGUUUUCCUGCCCGUUGGCUUGUUUUAACCAGUUUUCUGCCUUCGGCUGAUUCUACCAGCAGACACUGAAAAGACUCUGAUAGUUCGGUAAGUUAAUGUUUAUUUUCGUAUCGGUGCCGCUUUUAAUGUACUUUAUAUGCAGCUGUAGUGUCAGAUAUAAUGUGUGCCAUGCAGUCAAGAUGUUGGUGGAGUUUAUUUCUGUGUGUGUUGACCAGAGAAGAGAGUUAGCAUCUGGUAAAUAUUAGUUUUAUUGUUAGCGAUGCUAACCGAGCUAGCUGCUCAGUCGUAGUCUGAUUAAAGCUAACGUAGCAUUAAGCUAUCGUAGCAUAAACUAACGUAGCAUCAAGCUAACGAUGUUUGUGUUGAGUUUCAUGUAAACAGCUGAAGUGUGUUGUGUUACUGUAAUGUAGUGCAUUUAGUGAAUAAAACUGUUCAUGGAGACGCUGGUUCACGUUAAUAUAACGUUAAGAAAAUCUAAAUGUGACUAAAACAGUAAGAUUAAGGUUCUGUGUUGUCAGUAGGUCGGACUUGAUGUUUGAAAUCCUGACCGACAGCUCAGAUUUAACUGUCUGUAGUUCUGUUUUGAUGGAUGUUAAAUUUUCACUCAAAGUCGCCAGGAGCUGGGUCUUUAAAAUAACCGCCGUCUUGUUACAGAGUGAAAGUAACAGUUCCUCCUGAAGGUCAGAGAUCGCAGCAUCUGAGGGCCUCUUCAAAAGAAGAUGUAGUUGAUGAAGGCGUUCUGGAGCAGGACCAGAAAGACCACGACCAAGCAGCCUUGAGAUCUUAGACAGCGUCUCCCUGAGGUCCCUCUCUAUCUCCCCACACAUCCACCAACCACUGGAACACAUCCCCAAAGUUCUGCCGGGCCAGCUCAGCUUCCCCUCAGAAGAAGUGCCGCCACCUGCCAGAUGAAGGAGCCUUUUGAGAGGCAGCUGGCAUCGUGAUUGGACUGUACUUUGGUCUGUUCCAAUCCAGCUUCAGCUCCAGAGACGGCAGGCGGGACGAGUCAACGGAGGCCGGGUGGACGAAGACAUGCAACUGAGUACAAUCCAGAAAACAACAGAGGAGGAGUGCAGGGCCAGAACAACCAGAGUAGCAUGGUAUGUCUCUUAGAAAACAUCAUAGUAUAGCCUUUGGGAUGAAAAAAACGGCAUCAUAUACAUUGUAUAUUGUACAAAUAACAAGUCAAAGGAAAGAGACAUACAUUGUAGAAUUGUAGUAAUUGUGGACUGACUGAUUUACUGAUUAUCAGUAUUUUAUUGUUACUGAUUUACGGUAAUAAAUACAUUUAAAAAUG